rnacentral:rRNA from 1 species
GGUAACUUAGUCUUAUAAUCACAAUUAAUGGAUCAAUUAUUCACUCAUCCGUGUAUUUUAAAAAGAAAAGUUAAUUUUAUCUUCCUGUCACCCCAACAGAAUAACUUUUGAAUUUAACUCAACUCAUUCCAACUUUGUUGUACUCAUACGUUAUCAAGAUCUAUAGGGUCUUCUCGUCCUCCAAUUACAUUUCAGCCUUUUCACUGAAAAGUUAAAUUCAAUAAUGGUCCAAGUGAGACAGCUUGCACCUCGUCCAACCAUUCAUACCAGCCUUUAAUUAAAAGACUAAUGAUUAUGCUACCUUUGCACGGUCAAAAUACCGCGGCCCUUCAACCUUCAGUGGGCAGGUCAGACCUCUUACACAACCAAGAGGCG